rnacentral:rRNA from 1 species
CCUACGGGAGGCAGCAGUGAGGAAUAUUGGUCAAUGGACGAGAGUCUGAACCCGCCAAGUAGCGUGAAGGAUGACUGCCCUAUGGGUUGUAAACUUCUUUUAUAUGGGAAUAAAAUGUUCCACGUGUGGGAUUUUGUAUGUACCAUAUGAAUAAGGAUCGGCUAACUCCGUGCCAGCAGCCGCGGUAAUACGGAGGAUCCGAGCGUUAUCCGGAUUUAUUGGGUUUAAAGGGAGCGUAGGUGGAUUGUUAAGUCAGUUGUGAAAGUUUGCGGCUCAACCGUAAAAUUGCAGUUGAAACUGGCAGUCUUGAGUACAGUAGAGGUGGGCGGAAUUCGUGGUGUAGCGGUGAAAUGCUUAGAUAGCACGAAGAACUCCGAUUGCGAAGGCAGUUCACUGGACUGCAACUGACACUGAGGCUCGAAAGUGUGGGUAUCAAACAGGAUUAGAUACCCGUGUAGUC